rnacentral:lncRNA from 1 species
AUGAUCUCUUUUUGGCCCUUUUCUAGUCUCUUAUGGAUAAAAUGGAAUUUCUAUAGAUGGGUUGUUGUGAACUCCUUCAACAUGCUACUUGGGAAAUUAAUGGGUCCUCUUACCAUAUGUUAUAUUCCUUGUUUGAUUUAAGAGGAGCUUAUUCUGAGCUUAUCAGAUUCUGGGAGGAAUAUGGUAGAGAUGUUAAUCACUGACAGACUUAAAAUGCUUGCUGUUCUUGGCAGGAAUAUGGUAGAUAUGCUAAUUUCAGAAAACUUAGAUGUGUUGCUAAUUUUGUCAUAA